AAAACAUACUUGAUCCUGAUGAAUAUGGUAAAGCAAAACGACGAUGGUUUCCUCGUUUUUCUUUUAACAUGAAAUAAUUGUCAUUACUUCUAAGGUAGAUUCGCUUUGUUGGUCCGAAAGAUCCAUUUUGGAUCCAUUGUGGAUUUGUGGGUGGGGGCGCCUUUGAAGGAAGGAAAGGCCCUUCGGAACCGGAGCCGGUACUGUGAAAAUGGCGCACACCACCAAAUUUCUCCGUCCGAUCAGACAAUCUAUUACGGUGAUAACCUCGUCUUAUCCACGAAUCUGUCAUUCCAGAAAAUCCUAUUAUGCCAAAUUUGAACCUUUAAAGACGUUGAUAAAGGCCCUUGAACCUGUUUUUCGCAACCGUGUGUCGGCAUUUGAGCGUCAAUUAAUCCCACGGAGAAAAUAUUUCUGUUUUUCAGGGCAUAAGCUAAGUAUCGGAUGCAUACUUGCUGCGUCGGUUGUAAUGGGGUCAAGAAGCUUUCAGCCUCGUGUUGUUUAUGCUAUGGAUGAUGCUUUGGAUGAGGAAGAAGAUCCACGGGCCUUCUGGAUGUUUGCCCAGAAAUUCUGGCUACCCGUUUUUUUAUUUCUUACAGUGUUGACAAACUUGGAUCAUCCUAUUGCACUCAUUGCAAUCAAAAUUAUUUUCUUACUCCUAAGCACAAAUCCUAGUCCUCUCUCAGUCUAUGUUUUUGUUGGUCAGUUAUGUCAUCAAUCUAUGCGCAAAGAGCCUCACUUGUACAGAAAAAAGGUGUGCCCAUUUUUUUUCCAAUUUGCAUUGACUUUUUAUUCCAAUACUUUUCUCCAGUUUUUAUGGCGUGUAAGGUUAUAUAUAUGUACUGGAUAUGGAAUCUUUUGAGAUUUUUUUGGAUGCCUGUGACAGUUUACUUGGGCUUGCAAGUACACAUGCUUAUUGAGGGAAGUUGGUACUACCAAUAGUUAUGUCAAAUGGGCAUGACUCCCCACCCGUUGGAUGCCCAUUCCAUGACAGCCAUAUUUUCGGUUGGUGUUAGAAAGGAGAAUAAACAGGAUAAAGGCUAGAACAUGAUGUGUUUUCCCAAUUCUCUCUUUCAAAACGCUUAUCAGGCUGCAGUUUCACAUAGUCACUAUACGCUAAAAAUGUUGAAGUUCAAGACUAUAAGCUUCUCUGCAUUGCUAGAGUCGAACUGAAAGAAGAAAAGUUCACUUUGGUUGGAAUUCUGGGAGGUUGGUGGGCUCUUCCAAGACUGUUUUCUCAGGGCUUUCCCAUGGUUAGGGAUAGAGCUCUGAAGCAUUAUUGAGAAAACAACUGAACAAGUUAAUUUACCAUAAUUAGCAUUA